GUCAUCGCCGGUGCUACACAUAUUUGACAGUUGGCAUUAAUUUCGAUUUUGUCCUUUUAAAAUGCGUGUAUGUGCUUUAAACGUGUGCAGAAAUUACAAAGGUCGACUAAAAACGACACACAAGGUCACCUACCAUCUGAUACCGAAUGAUCCCAUUAUAAGAAGCAAAUGGGUAGAAAUAAUUAGAAAAAGCCGUGGAGAGGACUACUGGAAACCAGCAAAAUCCACAGUGAUCUGCUCUGAUCAUUUCCACCACAAAGAUCUACAUAUAUUACACAAAAAAUCAGACAGGACUCCGAAGACUGAAAAAGGGAGUGUUACCGAGCAAAGUAAGAUUCCCAGGCAUUAUUCUUAUCCUAGACAUUCGAGAGGUCGUGUCAAACUGGUCAAUGAAUUCAAAAUAAAUAAUAAUGCAACAAUGUAUA